CCGUAUCUCUUACAAUUUACCUGAUAUACUGCAAUUUUCCUUUAUUUUUAUUUUCAUAUCUCUAUUUACUUUUCCUAUUCUAGACAGCAAUUUCUAUCCUUACAUGUUCUGGAUGUUAAAAUGUUUCCUGUGGAGCUAUCCAGAUGAAAUACUAAGCUGUUUACAAUUUCCUAAGCAUAUUUCUAUCUUAUUCGGCUCAUAACUUGAUGUAUACUUGUCUGACUUACUUUGUUUUUAAAAAAA